GCACUGCUGAGGAGUCCCACACUAGGACGAAACGGCAGUCCAGUGC
rnacentral:hammerhead_ribozyme from 1 species